rnacentral:rRNA from 1 species
UACGUAGGGGGCUAGCGUUAUCCGGAAUUACUGGGCGUAAAGGGUGCGUAGGUGGUUAAUUAAGUCUGAUGUGAAAGCCCACGGCUUAACCGUGGAGGGUCAUUGGAAACUGGUUGACUUGAGUGCAGAAGAGGGAAGUGGAAUUCCAUGUGUAGCGGUGAAAUGCGUAGAGAUAUGGAGGAACACCAGUGGCGAAGGCGGCUUCCUGGUCUGCAACUGACACUGAGGCGCGAAAGCGUGGGGAGCAAACAGG